CCCAAUGCCUUUCCUGUACCACAGUAGACUC
rnacentral:piRNA from 1 species